rnacentral:rRNA from 1 species
UACAGAGGUCUCAAGCGUUGUUCGGAUUCAUUGGGCGUAAAGGGUGCGUAGGCGGGCAGGUAAGUCAGUGGUGAAAUCCCCGGGCUUAACUUGGGAACUGCCGUUGAUACUAUCUGUCUUGAAUAUCGUGGAGGUGAGCGGAAUAUGUCAUGUAGCGGUGAAAUGCUUAGAUAUGACAUAGAACACCAAUUGCGAAGGCAGCUCACUACGCGAAUAUUGACACUGAGGCACGAAAGCGUGGGGAUCAAACAGG